rnacentral:rRNA from 1 species
CAUUCACGGAGAGUUUGAUCCUGGCUCAGGACGAACGCUGGCGGCGUGCUUAACACAUGCAAGUCGAACGAUGAACCACUUCGGUGGGGAUUAGUGGCGAACGGGUGAGUAACACGUGGGCAAUCUGCCCUGCACUCUGGGACAAGCCCUGGAAACGGGGUCUAAUACCGGAUACUGACCCGCUUGGGCAUCCAAGCGGUUCGAAAGCUCCGGCGGUGCAGGAUGAGCCCGCGGCCUAUCAGCUUGUUGGUGAGGUAAUGGCUCACCAAGGCGACGACGGGUAG